rnacentral:rRNA from 1 species
GCGAACGGGUGAGUAAUACAUCGGAACGUAUCCUGUAGCGGGGGAUAACCUCUCGAAAGAGAGGCUAAUACCGCAUACGACCUAAGGGUGAAAGAGGGGGAUCGCAAGACCUCUCACUAUUGGAGCGGCCGAUGUCGGAUUAGCUAGUUGGUGGGGUAAAAGCCCACCAAGGCUACGAUCCGUAGCUGGUCUGAGAGGACGACCAGCCACGCUGGAACUGAGACACGGUCCAGACUCCUACGGGAGGCAGCAGUGGGGAAUUUUGGACAAUGGGCGCAAGCCUGAUCCAGCCAUGCCGCGUGGGUGAAGAAGGCCUUCGGGUUGUAAAGCCCUUUCGGCUGGGACGAAAAGGUUCGGGUUAAUAACCCGGAUCCAUGACGGUACCAGCAGAAGAAGCACCGGCUAACUACGUGCCAGCAGCCGCGGUAAUACGUAGGGUGCAGGCGUUAAUCGGAAUUACUGGGCGUAAAGCGUGCGCAGGCGGUCUUUUAAGUCAGAUGUGAAAUCCCCGGGCUUAACCUGGGAACUGCGUUUGAAACUGGAGGCUAGAGUGUGGCAGAGGGGGGGUGGAAUUCCACGUGUAGCAGUGAAAUGCGUAGAGAUGUGGAGGAACACGAUGGCGAAGGCAGCCCCCUGGGCUAACACUGACGCUCAUGCACGAAAGCGUGGGGAGCAAACAGAUAGAUACCCUGGUAGUCCACGCCCUAACUAUGUCAACUGGUUGUCG